UACGUAGGGCGCAAGCGUUAUCCGGAAUUAUUGGGCGUAAAGAGCUCGUAGGCGGUUUGUCGCGUCUGCCGUGAAAGUCCGGGGCUCAACUCCGGAUCUGCGGUGGGUACGGGCAGACUAGAGUGAUGUAGGGGAGACUGGAAUUCCUGGUGUAGCGGUGAAAUGCGCAGAUAUCAGGAGGAACACCGGUGGCGAAGGCGGUUCUCUGGGCAGUAACUGACGCUGAGGAGCGAAAGCGUGGGUAGCAAACAGG
rnacentral:rRNA from 1 species